GACGAACGCUGGCGGCGUGCUUAACACAUGCAAGUCGAACGGAAAGGCCCUGCUUGCAGGGUGCUCGAGUGGCGAACGGGUGAGUAACACGUGGGUGAUCUGCCCCUUACUUUGGGAUAAGCCUGGGAAACUGGGUCUAAUACUGGAUAGGACCAUGCUGUAGGUGGUGUGGUGGAAAGAUUAGUUUCGGUAAGGGAUGAGCUCGCGGCCUAUCAGCUUGUUGGUGGGGUAAUGGCCUACCAAGGCGUCGACGGGUAGCCGGCCUGAGAGGGUGGACGGCCACAUUGGGACUGAGAUACGGCCCAGACUCCUACGGGAGGCAGCAGUGGGGAAUAGUGCACAAUGGGCGCAAGCCUGAUGCAGCGACGCCGCGUGGGGAAUGACGGCCUUCGGGUUGUAAACUCCUUUCAGCCAUGACGAAGCCCUUGUGGUGACGGUAGUGGUAGAAGAAGCACCGGCUAACUACGUG
rnacentral:rRNA from 1 species